rnacentral:rRNA from 1 species
AUUGAACGCUGGCGGCAGGCUUAACACAUGCAAGUCGAGCGAGAGGCGGACGGGUGAGUAAUGUCUGGGAAACUGCCUGAUGGAGGGGGAUAACUACUGGAAAAGGUAGCUAAUACCGCAUACAAUCAGAUGUGCCCAGAUGGGAUGAGCGAGGAGGUGGGGUAAUGGCUCACAUGGGCGACGAUCCCUAGCUGGUCUGAGAGGAUGAACAGCCACACUGGAACUGAGACACGGUCCAGACUCCUACGUGAGGCAGCAGUGGGGAAUAUUGCACAAUGGGCGCAAGCCUGAUGCAGCCAUGCCGCGUGUGUGAAGAAGGCCUUCGGGUUGUAAAGCACUUUCAGCGAGGAGGCGUUACUCGCAGAAGAAGCACCGGCUAACUCCGUGUCAGCAGCCGCGGUAAUUC